rnacentral:rRNA from 1 species
CAGCUUGUUGGUGAGGUAAUGGCUCACCAAGGCGUCGACGGGUAGCCGGCCUGAGAGGGUGACCGGCCACACUGGGACUGAGACACGGCCCAGACUCCUACGGGAGGCAGCAGUGGGGAAUAUUGCACAAUGGGCGCAAGCCUGAUGCAGCAACGCCGCGUGAGGGACGACGGCCUUCGGGUUGUAAACCUCUUUUAGCAGGGAAGAAGCGAGAGUGACGGUACCUGCAGAAAAAGCGCCGGCUAACUACGUGCCAGCAGCCGCGGUAAUACGUAGGGCGCAAGCGUUAUCCGGAAUUAUUGGGCGUAAAGAGCUCGUAGGCGGUUUGUCGCGUCUGCUGUGAAAUCCCGAGGCUCAACCUCGGGUCUGCAGUGGGUACGGGCAGACUAGAGUGCGGUAGGGGAGAUUGGAAUUCCUGGUGUAGCGGUGGAAUGCGCAGAUAUCAGGAGGAACACCGAUGGCGAAGGCAGAUCUCUGGGCCGUAACUGACGCUGAGGAGCGAAAGGGUGGGGAGCAAACAGGCUUAGAUACCCUGGUAGUCCACCCCGU